GACGAACGCUGGUGGCGUGCCUAAUACAUGCAAGUCGAACGCAGUGGGGACGGGUGAGUAACACGUGGGUAACCUCCCAUCAGAGGGGAUAACACUUGGAAACAGGUGCUAAACCGAUAUUGAUGGAUGAACCCGCGGUGCAUUAGCUAGUUGGUGAGGUAACGGCUCACCAAGGCCACGAUGCAUAGCGGGCCUGAGAGGGGGAUCGGCCACACUGGGACUGAGACACGGCCCAGACUCCUACGGGAGGCAGCAGUGGGGAAUCUUGGGCAAUGGAGGAAAGUCUGACCCAGCCAUGCCGCGUGAGUGAAGAAGGUUUUCGGAUCGUAAAGCUCUGUUGUUAGAGAAGCGGUAUCUGAAGAGAAAGCAACGGCUAACUACGUGCCAGCCGCCGCGGUAAUAC
rnacentral:rRNA from 1 species